CAUUUUUUCCCGGGAUAUUUCUAUAGUAAAUAAUGAUUUUCAAUAAUAUCAACCUUCCGACUAUAGUAAAUGCUUUUUGACCGCAUCAUACCAUGGAGGAACUACCUUAAAAGGUCAUGUUUGUUUUUCAUACCGUGCAUUUGCUUUAA